rnacentral:rRNA from 1 species
GGUCAAGCGAAUAAGCGCACACGGUGGAUGCCUUGGCGGUCAGAGGCGAUGAAGGACGUGGCAGCCUGCGAAAAGUAUCGGGGAGCUGGCAACAAGCUUUGAUCCGGUAAUGUCCGAAUGGGGAAACCCACCCGCUUGCGGGUAUCCUGCAGUGAAUACAUAGCUGCUGGAAGCGAACCUGGUGAACUGAAAUAUCUAAGUAACCAGAGGAAAAGAAAUCAACCGAGAUUCCGUAAGUAGCGACGAGCGAACGCGGACUAGCCCUUAAGCUGGAUUGGUUCUAGGAAAACACUCUGGAAAGAGUGGCCAUAGAAGGUGAUAGCCCUGUAUCUGAAAGGGCCAUUCCAGUGAAGACGAGUAGGGCGGGGCACGUGAAACCCUGUCUGAACAUGGGGGGACCAUCCUCCAAGGCUAAAUACUACUGACCGACCGAUAGUGAACCAGUACCGUGAGGGAAAGGCGAAAAGAACCCCGGAGAGGGGAGUGAAAUAGAACCUGAAACCGUGUGCGUACAAGCAGUAGGAGCUCCGCAAGGAGUGACUGCGUACCUUUUGUAUAAUGGGUCAGCGACUUACUGUUCGUGGCAAGCUUAACCGUAUAGGGGAGGCGAAGGGAAACCGAGUCUGAUAAGGGCGCAUAGUCGCGGGCAGUAGACCCGAAACCGGGUGAUCUAGUCAUGCCCAGGGUGAAGGUGCGGUAACACGCACUGGAGGCCCGAACCCACUCCCGUUGCAAAGGUAGGGGAUGAGGUGUGAUUAGGAGUGAAAAGCUAAUCGAACCCGGAGAUAGCUGGUUCUCCUCGAAAGCUAUUUAGGUAGCGCCUCAUAUGUAUCCUCUCGGGGGUAGAGCACUGUUAUGGCUAGGGGGUCAUCGCGACUUACCAAACCAUUGCAAACUCCGAAUACCGAGACGGACUGUAUGGGAGACACACGGCGGGUGCUAACGUCCGUCGUGAAAAGGGAAACAACCCAGACCCACAGCUAAGGUCCCAAAUUCACUGCUAAGUGGAAAACCAUGUGGAAAGGCACAGACAGCCAGGAGGUUGGCUUAGAAGCAGCCACCCUUUAAAGAAAGCGUAAUAGCUCACUGGUCGAGUCGGUCUGCGGGGAAGAUUUAACGGGGCUAAGCAGUGAACCGAAGCUUGGGGUGCAUAACUUUGUUAUGCGCGGUAGAGGAGCGUUCCGUAAGCCGUUGAAGGUGGAUUGAGAAGUCUGCUGGAGGUAUCGGAAGUGCGAAUGCUGACAUGAGUAACGAUAAUGCGGGUGAAAAACCCGCACGCCGAAAGCCCAAGGUUUCCUUGCGCAACGUUAAUCGGCGCAGGGUGAGUCGGCCCCUAAGGCGAGGACGAAAGUCGUAGUCGAUGGGAAGCAGGUUAAUAUUCCUGCACCUCGCGUAAGUGCGAUGGAGGGACGGAGAAGGUUAGGUGUACCAGGCGUUGGUUGUCCUGGGGAAAGGCGGUAGGUUUGGAUCUUUGGCAAAUCCGGGAUCCUUUAAGACCGAGCACCGAGACGAGCCUUUAUGGCGAAGUCACUGAUACCACGCUUCCAGGAAAAGCUCCUAAGCUUCAGCUUACGCAGACCGUACCGUAAACCGACACAGGUGGGUAGGAUGAGAAUUCUCAGGCGCUUGAGAGAACUCGGGUGAAGGAACUAGGCAACAUGGCACCGUAACUUCGGGAGAAGGUGCACCCUUUUUGGUGGCUCGUGCGAGCUAUAGCUGAAGAGGGUCGCAGUAACCAGGCCGCUGCGACUGUUUAUCAAAAACACAGCACUCUGCAAACACGAAAGUGGACGUAUAGGGUGUGACGCCUGCCCGGUGCUGGAAGGUUAAUUGAUGGGGUCAGCCGCAAGGCGAAGCUCUUGAUCGAAGCCCCGGU